rnacentral:lncRNA from 1 species
CCCGGUCGAACGUCUUCAGGUGCUUUAGGUCUCCGUAGAGCUUGCUGAUUUUCCCACAACCUUCUUGCAACACGCUUCCCACACGGAACACGGCAGCAUGAUUUUGCAUUUACUUCUGCAUGCUGAGUCGCAGUUCUCAUGUUCUUAUGCUUCCAUCAGCAAAUCUCAAUUUGUCAAGAUUCAUGACAGAUUCUUCCCCAGCGUUUGGUUUAAUUGGAGGGACUUUAUCUC